UUUUCAGAUGCCAUCCACUUUAUUAUCUGAGUGGGAUGCACAAAUAAUGGCAGCUAAUGCCAGGAGCAGAGAUAGAAUGAAGCUUGUUCCCUUUUGGGAAAAGCUGAAAUAAAACCACCGUAUGAAUGGGUCAUUGAAAACAGGCUGGAAUAUAUUCCCUAUAGUCCUCCCGAAAGUUCAAGGGCAGGGGAAAAGAAAAAAAACAGAAGAAACUGUCUCUGUGUUCACUAAACUUCUAAUAUCUGAAAGUGCUUAAAAAAACACACAUGCACUUUUUUUCAUAUGAUCAUGGAAAAACACACUAAGCUUUUGACUCAAUGGUUUUGUUUUUCCAGUGAGUCCUUUCCAGGUUCCACGCGCCAUCUCACAGUCACGUCUGCUGGGUGAGCUUCGAGCUAACAAAUUUCAGAAGAGCUCUUUGCGAUUCUGCCGCAUUGAGUUUCAAGUAUUGGCUUGCUGGAAGUGCAGCGGAGAGGGAAGAGGGAGGGAAGUGGUGUGAGCUUUGCCAACACACCUGCACAAGCUUUGGGCUCUCCUGGACAUUCUGUGCACUAAUGAUGUAUAACCUGUAGAGCCUGGCAACACGUUUUCUGAAGACUAAAACAGACAGUCUGUGCGUGCCUCUGAUUUCUAAUUUCUUAAAACAAGUAAUAACCCCUCCUCCUCCAACCCUGUGCUGUAGGUAAAUGCUUGGAAUGGAAACUGAGAUGUACUCAGCUGGUGAAAGCUUCUACCAAGGUCUCCAGCUCAGCAUCAACACUCUCCUCCCAUCAGAAAGACAAUGCAAAUACAGACAGUUCUGGACGAGCUGAAACUGAAGUGUGGAGCUUUUCUGGAGCGUAUUAAAAGAUAAGUGCCAACCAGAGGACGGCUAUGUGAUUGAAUCAACCUAAGAACUGGUGGUGACCAACACGGACAGUCUCCUCUAUUCCUCACACACACAAUCCUCGUCUUGUGUGCAGAUACAGAGGAAGCUGCCUCAGGAAACUGUGCUUGCUGAAAACAAAUCUUGUUGUGUUUUAUUUGUGGAUCUCGUUUUAGGCUGAAUUAAUUCCCAAGGCUUGGUAUGGCCAACUUACUGCCAGGCCACAACUGCUACUGGUAUGGGAAACAGCCUGCUGUGAGACUGUAUGAGUUUGUGAUUAGACCCAAUUCAAGUGAUCAUGAUGCUGCAGUCACAUCCAAGCAGUGCUGCCGAUCCAUUAUAUGGUGCACUAUAAACAGCAGCUGUUGCUGUCAUUGCAAGAUCUACCCUCAAGUUGGGACCCAGGAUCAACCCACAGGCAGGCUCAACCUCCUGUGGAACACAUUGCUUUAUUUAUCAAUGAAACAUGAGUCUUCGGUGUUCCUCUGGGAGCAGGAUGCAGGCUAGAUGAGUUCUUCUAGCUUGCUUCUGCUUGCUGUCUUUCCUGGGUACUCCACAGUCUCCUGCUUCUCCCCAACCAGGCUCCACACACACAGAGAAUUUGAUACUUUAAAGUAUUGAAAUAAUCCGUUUACUGCACGUAUACAGAUGAAAUGUCCUGCUCAUGCCCAGACUGUCUGUUUACGUGGUGGGGAAGAGCUAGAGUGGAAUGACCCCUUCCUAUGGCUAGCGGGAAGCUAGACAAGGAAAACUUUGAUAUAUUAGGAAAUCCAGAGCUUUGAGGGCAUGACUUGGAGGCUGUUUUAUGGUAUAUAGUUAUAGUAUGCAAUCCCGUCUUUUUGGCUAUGAUGAUAUAUAUACUUCUACGUAUGUGUGUGAGCAGGCAUAAUAGUCUGAGGCCUUAAUUGUGUUUCAUGUUAAUACAGAUGAAAAGUUGAGGAGCUGCAAGGAACAAUUCUUUCAUUGUCCUCUACACAUCUGGGUUAAUGUUUCCUCCUUGAAUUAGUCUGCACCAGAGUGUUCCUUCUCUGCUCACCACAAGCUAGCAGUGCCAAUUUCCCUCCGUGGCAGCUCCAGUGACAGCUGUUUACUUGGAAGCUCAUGGAUUUGAUAUAUGGGUGCUAGCCACAAAUUAAUGGAAUACUUUCCAGAUGCAAAGUCUUUAAACAUUCAAACAAUAAGCCAAAAGCACUAAACUGUUUUGGACAUUUUUUCUCUUCACUCUGGAUGUCACUUGGAGAUGAUGUAAACACAAUUACUUGGGACAACGAACAGAACACUUAAUUGGUUUUAGAGUAACAGCAUGGGUUGCUGGAUGGCAGUCAGUCAAUGGUGCCAUUUGUCACCUGAUGCCAAGACCCUAAAUGGCCAAGGAGGACAGUAGAAUAAAGAAGAAAAAAGAAGUACUGGAGCUAACUGCUAGCAGGUAGCCUUUCCAGCCUAGUCAGAGAGCUGUGCGUGCUGGCUCAGCCUCCCAGGUUCAGGUAAGAUACACUUGGCAUAGACUAUAAAGAACAGUUCCCAGAAUGUCUCUGGAGGCUCUCUGGAGCAUUUCAGAACAACAAGAGUGUGCAGAGGAUGAUUACAGUGAAUAGGGAUCACUAAAACACUUCAAACCUCUCCUUGUCAGGUGUCAUCUAGAAAUCAGUCUGGAGCAGAAGAGCUAGUGCCUCGCUCAGAAAUGGAGACCCAGAUCAGUCCCAGUCAUGUCACUCUUCCACACCAGACCUUCAGCAGAUCUCAGUUUGCAUUACAUGCACCCUAAUUCUGAGGACUGGGACAAGUCCUCCAGACAGCAUUCGAGGGCAGAAAUCAGCCUACGAAAGUAGGCUAAAUUUCUUUGGGGCUGUGUGUAAGUUUAACUGUUAGUACCUUUGCUCAAAGAUAACAACAGGUCAAAUUGAAAACUUCUGUGAAGUAGAAUGGCUGCACCAAAGCCGGAUGGUAAUGAUUUAUACCACCUCAGAACCUGGGCCAAGAAGUGUAACUGAUUUCUUGGCCAACUUACAUCACUUCUUCUUAUCCCUUUGCAUUUUCUUUGGCAUUUUCUUCUUUGCAUUUUCUCAUUUUCUUCCCCAAAAAUUUAACGUGAUCUGGACAUUUGAGCUACCAGUGUGUUUCUACACACUUUUAUCUACUUACAAAUGCCAGCAAACAUGAGCUGUGUGCCCUUGUAUUGGACAAGGGCAAGAUGGAGCUCCAAGCAACUGUGUCUGAAUUUGAAAUCAGUUCAAGCCUGAAAUACUGCCUGUUUGAAGGUUUCUUCUUUAUUCCUUCCAAUGUUGUGAUUAAUUAGAGAAUUAAUAUGUAUUAAAGUUAUCAUCAUCUUUACUGGAUGGAAAAAUUCAAAUUCAUUAUCUAAUGGGAGGAAAAUAAGCAUCAUUUUACAAGGGUUUUAAAGCAACAGCAGUAAUAACAAACCACCCCAAACUCCAGUCCACAGGCAGCACAGACAUCUGCUAGAAAAAUACGAUGACUCCCCCACCCACCACCCUCAAAUUUAGGGAUUUGUGGAAUACAGGCCUUGCCUGAAGUUGUUUGGCAAGAAUCUUCAUGUGAAGUUCUUAUUUAAUGAAAUCAUGUGGUAGUAAAUCAAACACAGAACCAGGAAUAAGUAAAUCCACCACAUCCUUUGAAAAAAGUAUGGUUUGAUUCCUUCAACUCAAGUUGCUCAGGCAAUGAAUUAUCUAUAUUUGUCAACUAAAAAACCAUCCCCCAACAGUCAACUAAAAAACCAUCCCCCAACAGUCACCCACCUUUUUGGUACAAUUUUCUAAUCCUCAGUCUCAAAGCUGAGCUGAGAGCCAGCACAAUAUGGACAGGUUAGUCACACAAAGAGCUCCUAAGGCUAGUGCUAAGCUGUUGUAUCUUUGCAAAGUCUGUGGAAAUGGCUCAAAAUGCAAAACUUGUGCCCUCCUGCAAAGUGUUCACAUCUGAAUGUUAAAAGAAAGGUGGCGAAUUAGUGUCAUAAACAACAUGAGGGAAAGCGGGUAGAAAAGUGGACAGAGCAACACUAACAUUAUGAUACAAAAAAUUAGAGGUUGGCUUCACGGACUUGGUAGCGUUAUGCUGACGGCUCGUGUUGAUCUGAAGGGUCCUUUCCAACCUCAAUGAUUCUAUCUAAUACCUACUGAUGUGAGAAGAAGCCUUAACACAGAUCCACUUUACAUGGCUUUCUCUAUGCCCAUGGAGGUUCAGAGCCAUGGAAAGGUGCUGAGUAGCCUUCUGAUAAAUUCGUUAUAAUUUGGUCACAACUAUUAUAGCUCAAAGGAUCUCUCACAGAACUUUUUUCUUCUGAGACUUCCUAGAGAAACUAUGCCUACUGAAUCAAUGAUAUCUGCGCACAACGUUUGAUGUUUUUUAAGAUAUGAUUCAAUUUUCUAUGUUGCCUUUUUUAUUUUUCCCUGGAAAAAUUGAUGUAAAAAAAGGAAAAAGUAAGUUCAGUGAAAUUUUCUUUUUUUUUCUUUUUAAAGGAAACCUGUAUUCCUGUAUUUUCUGUGGAAAAUCACAACAAAAACAAUCACUUCUUGUCAACAUUUCCCUUAGGAGUAAUAAAACAUGAUUUUCAUUCACUAGUAUGCCCAAGAAAACAAGCAGAAGAGAGAACAUCAGUGUCUUUACAAACAAGAUUUACAAAGAGAGAUACUGUGAGGGAGCAGUUGGAAGAGGUAUUGUAUCAGAUUCUGCUGCUGUGUCCAUUCUAACCAUGACCCACCUGCUGAGACUGCUGUGCUACCUGUAGUUGCUGCUUGAAAUUAAUUCACUCUCUUAAUUAUAUGAAAACUCCCUUAGCUCUUCUCUCUUUAAUGACAAAAUACACAACAUUUUCACCCUACCUCACUUGCUAACAUUAAGAACUUUUAAUUUAAUGUUAUUAUUUUUAUAAUUGAGUACUUACAAGUACUGAGAAGACAGUUUUAUUCUUGCUGAUCCGUCUUGUAUUCAUUAUUGUUUCAGCUUUGUGAUUCAUCACUGUGAAAUCAAAAUGAAAUAGCUCUUCAGAAAUCAUGGGAUUUCCUAGAAUCCCCAUCCGAAUGCCAUUUAAGAAGAUUUGGCUUUGUAAUUAACCAUUUCUGAGGGAGUUAAAAAAUAUACACAACUCAAAUGUGGCAUUUUUACAACCUUAAUAAAACCAAAUGCAACGUUUACUAGGUACUCACUUUAACAAAAAGAAAAAGGUUGCCAUAGCAAAACAGCAAUCAUAGUAAUUUUAAGUGAAACUGAUGGUAAUUGUAGAACAGCAAUGUGCAUGUUAUUGGCCUAAGAAAAAUUCUGUCUUUGUACUUGAAUAGCAGAACUUGAUAAAAACAAGAGAUCACCACGUAGAAACAGGCUAAAGGGCUUAGCAAAAACCCAAAGUAACUUUUCUACUGCACAGCAAAACUCAUACCAAAAAUGUCCCCCACCAGCCAUGAUCUUAGCUCUCCUGAAUGCCAGUGACUUUCCUAGAACUGCUGUGGACUCCAAUAGAUAAAACUAAUUCACGGAUGCACCCACAAUGUGCUUCCUCAAGCAAAAUGCACUGCUGUAGGGAUGCUUCCCAGCAAGGCUAAGCAUUGCUGUGGGAGGGAGGCAGUGGUGGCUGCUAUGCCAUACACAGAGGGAGACAGCCUGUGUGCUCUCAGUGAUUUAUUUUCUUUCUUUAUGGUCCAAUUUACAGAGGUAAAGUAUGGAAUGAACUAUAGCCGGGUAAUGUUAUUUGAAGGUCUUUGGUUUUGUUAAAAAAUAAA